rnacentral:rRNA from 1 species
UACGAGUGGUGCUAGCGUUAUUCGGAUUUAUUGGGCGUAAAGGGUGUGUAGACGGCAUACUAAGUCAUUUGUUUAAUCCUCCGGCUUAACCGGAGCUCAGCAGGUGAAACUAGUAAGCUAGAGGGUGGAAGAGAGAAGUGGAAUUCUCGGAGUAGCGGUAAAAUGCGUAGAUCUCGAGAGGAACACCAAUGGCGAAGGCAGCUUCUUGGUCCAUACCUGACGUUGAGACACGAAAGCGUGGGGAGCAAACAGG